GGAGCCUGAAUUUAGGGGCGGAUCUGAGGAAGCGGUUUUCGAGGCCCCUCCUGAGAAGGGAAGUGCCGCUGAGUGGUGAGUGGGUGAUGAAAAGGACCAGCGAGAACACUUUGCCAGCGUCAUCUCCAGCCAAUGCCCAUGGCUGAGACGGCCCCAGGGUCUGUGCCCAGGGCCCUGCCAUUGGAUUCCCCCAGUCUGCACCCGGCAUGGACGUUUGCUUAAUCUUCAUCCAAGCCCUAAGGCACAUCCCCGAACACCUAGGCAGGUGUGGGGAGGAGUGCCCAUGCUUGUCCUUGGGAAGAGGAUUCAGGGGGAACACAGGGAAACCCUUUACACCCGGUCUUUUGGAGGGUCUUAUUCAAGGACUGAGUCCCCUGGUAGGAAGGGAUCAUGCCUUCAUGUCACAGCUCAGCGAGUGGUCCCACCUGAGGGAGGUCCCUCGGGAGGAGCCGCUAGGGAGAUGAGGCUGAGAGAGUUGAGUGGGGGCGGGGGAAGGGAGGAGAGGGGCUGGAAGGGAAGUACCUGUGUUAAUCCUGAGAGAGAGAGUGGGGGGAGCCCAGGCCAGUUUGCUGCUCCUUGACAGUUUGCUCUGUGUGUGUGUUGGGCCCCAGGAUGGGCCACACCGGAGUGGCCUUCCUCCCCCCCUACAAAUUCGUCUGUGUGGCUGGUCCGGAGGGACUUUCCUUCAGCGAAGGACAUGGCAGGCGGAAGGCAAGAGAUUCCGCUGGGGGAAGGAAGCACAGGCCUACUGCCCUGAGCAUUAAUAUGAUUUAAGAGAUACACAGGUCACCCGCUCAUGACUGAAAGCCAUCCUGGAAGGCAAGUUUGCAGCUAUUUCUAGGCAAAAUUGUGUGAUGAGAUGAAAUAGCUCAACUCCUGACCAUAAAGUCAUGAAGGUCACGGCCAUCGUAAAUCUCAAUGUCUGCAGCCUUCUCUGUCCAGCGUGGAAGCCCAGGCCAGUCUGUGCCAGCUGUCUUCCUGGGACCCUCGUCGUCCUGGCAGUGCCUCUGAGGACCGGGCUCGUGAAAGCCACCCCACAUGUUUAUUGUUUUUCCUGGGUGAUCUCAAGCCCUUCCUGAUCUGUACCAGCUCAGAUCCUCCACAGCUCACAUCAGACCAGCUGGCCCUGCCACUGAUCUAUCUGAUCCCUUUGGGCAGGAAAUGGGGGACCCAGACCGCUGGACACACACCGGACAACAGCCGGCCCUCACAUUUGUGCUGGAUGGUACCAUCUACAAAGGGAUUUUGCUGCGUGUGCUGCUCCCUGUGAUUCUCAUGGAGGAAACUCCACAUCUCAGGCUGAGCACAGUCCUUUGCUGAGAUUUGAUGGGGGGGAAACACGAUCACUGAUGCAACUCCCACCAUGAGCUGCUGCAAAGCCCUGGCAGAAAGAUGAGAUUGGCCUCAGAGCAACAUGGGGCUGCCUGGCCGCGGCCACUCCCUGAGCCUGCUUGAAGCACCAACACCUGCUUCCCCAGGACAAAUAUGGACAGAGAAUAAAGAGAGACCUUCGAGGCCUGUUUAUUUAUAUUUCUAUUGUUUGUUCACUGAUGUGUCUGUAGCACCUAAACGGAGCCUGGCAAAUAGUAGAUGUUUGAUAAAUAUUUAUUGACUCAUCAG